rnacentral:rRNA from 1 species
GCGCACGGGUGCGUAACGCGUAUAGAAUCUACCUUAUACUGGGGGAUAGCCUUUGGAAACGAAGAUUAAUACCCCAUAGUAUGUUUGAAUGGCAUCAUUUAGGCAUUAAAGUUUCGGCGGUAUAAGAUGACUAUGCGUUCUAUUAGUUUGUUGGUAAGGUAACGGCUUACCAAGACUACGAUAGAUAGGGGUCCUGAGAGGGAGAUCCCCCACACUGGUACUGAGACACGG